CUGUCAUAUUGAAGGGAAAUUAAAUAUGUUUAAUUAUAUUUUUAUAUCCUGUCGGAUGCACACACAAAAGUAGUGCUGCAUAAACAAACAUCUUUACGCACCAGAGUUCAGAGAUGAAACAUGAGAGGAAUCACUCUCUGAGAACAAGAAGAAAUCUUCAACAGAACCAGAACGACUGUCUGCUGGGAUCAGGAGAAGCACUGAGUUUCUUCAAUGAAAAGAAAAACAGAGACAACUCAAAGUUGAUGACAGCAGUAACACUGCUUUCAACGAAAGAUCAGAGGAACAUAGAGGAGUCCAGGAACCUUGACGUUUAUCCUGGAGCGCUGCCCAGAAUCAGCCCCAGGAACCUGAACUGUGUGGGCGUUAAGACUCCACAGCGGGAUUUCAGUGAUUUCACCAUGUUUUCAGGCAUGUGGGCUGCAUCAUGUGUGAAGAAGCAGCUGUCAUAGAAACAACCUAAAUACCUUCUCCCCUGACAGACCUUUGACCUUCUCUUGUCUGAUGAAGAUGAUGCUGGAAGCUGAGCUCCAAAAAACAUCAUUGAACAUUAUGUUUAAUAUGUAUUUGGUCUGGGCUCAAGAAAAGCAUUGAAAAGGAGCAAAUACGACAGUUAAAAAUCUUCACUCUAUUUAUAAUAGAUUUAAUCAGAUUUACUAGAGUUUAAUUAAAUGUUGGUAUAUUUAUUUAAUAUAACAUCUAUUUUU